GUUGGCAGUCUCAGUGUUUUACAGCUAAACACUGGCCACUUUUCAGCUAACAGCAUAUGCAUUUUCCUUUUUACAUUCAUUUUGACCUCUGCCCAGAUAUCUCACACCUGCUGAUGAAGCCAUGCUGGAGAACUGAACAGACUUGGAAUUUAAUAAUGGCACCAUCAGGCACCAUGAGUCACAGAUUGCUACUAUUUGGCGCUGUCUGAGCUGAUGGAUGUGUCCUGCAGGAGUCCUGUUCUCUCUAACAGCCAACACAUCGAUAAACACCACUGCAUUUUAAAACAAGGACAUCUUGAUUGAUUCAUUUCCCUGCAGUUGCCUUCAUUUGUAAUUACUGUUAUAUUUUUAUGUCGUUGCCACAACCUGCUCCCCCACAGGCUGAUGGAUAAUACAUCUCUAUCUGUGCUUGCACUGGCUUAAUUGUGUCUCUGUAAUGCAAAGUACAAAGUUUAUUAAAGGCUGAGUUUCCUGGGAGCG